GGCAGAGCUAAGUAAAUGCUCAAUGAGAACAGUAUGUCUUGAUUGAAAGCAAUUGGCAGCUCAUCGACCUGUUCAUCCACUGACGAUAGGCAAGAGGCUCUAAAUAUAUGCUCAGCUCCAAUAAAGUAGAGAUUUGCCAAUGAUUCCAACGCUGAUUAUGUGAAGACAGGCGAAGCAUCUCUAAAAUAGUCUGUGGAGUUAACUUCAGAUCCGUGCAGUCAGAAAAUCAUUCCACAAAUAAAUGGAGUUGCCAAUGAGGUUGCCAAUACGCAUGACCUAUAGAGGAAGGCCUAAAACGGAUAGGAGGGUAGUUUACCUUCGAGACCCAUUAAUGAGAUUGUGGCCAGUCCUCUACAUUGAAAGAAAUUACUUCAAAACAUUGGCAAGCGGUUGGGAAGCUUUCAGCAAGGCAAACAACAUUCAACCAGGAGAUGGGUGUGUUAUUAGGAUUGAAAAUGGAGUUGAACGCAUAUGUCCCGUCCAGAUAAUUAGAAAAUGACGAGAUGGUAAUUGAGAUCCGAAGAAAACUCUUUAUGCAGAGCUGCAAAACCAGCACUCGUGUUAUGAAUAUGCACUAGAUUCUAAAUAGUAUGGCCUAGAUUAGGUGCUCCUUUCAUGAGCAAGUAGGCCUGCAUUUUGUGUGUUAAGAUGCUUUUACAGUAGUUCUUGUCUAUUACAUGAUGCUGGUCUGAGCUUUUGCAUAAAUUUCGUGAAAGGGAUGUUGUUCAUGAAAUAAUAAAAUUUGAUAAACUACAUCUGUACACAGGUGUUGCUUGAAUUUACCAAA